rnacentral:rRNA from 1 species
UACGUAGGGGGCAAGCGUUGUCCGGAUUUAUUGGGCGUAAAGCGCGUGUAGGCGGCUUUGCAAGUCGGGUGUGAAAGCCCCGGGCUCAACCUGGGAACUGCAUUUGAAACUGGCGGGCUUGAGUAUGGCAGAGGGGGGGGUGGAAUUCCGCGUGUAGCAGUGAAAUGCGUAGAGAUGCGGAGGAACACCGAUGGCGAAGGCAGCCCCCUGGCCAAUACUGACGCUCGAGGCACGAAAGCGUGGGAGC